UACGGAGGAUGCGAGCGUUAUCCGGAUUUAUUGGGUUUAAAGGGUGCGCAGGCGGUCUGUUAAGUCAGCGGUCAAAGCCCGGGGCUCAACCCCGGCCCGCCGUUGAAACUGGCAGUCUCGAGUUGGAGAGAAGUAUGUGGAAUGCGCGGUGUAGCGGUGAAAUGCAUAGAUAUCGCGCAGAACUCCGAUUGCGAAGGCAGCAUGCCGGCUCCACACUGACGCUGAGGCACGAAAGCGUGGGUAUCGAACAGG
rnacentral:rRNA from 1 species